rnacentral:rRNA from 1 species
AUUGAACGCUGGCGGCAUGCUUUACACAUGCAAGUCGAACGGCAGCGGGGUAGUGCUUGCACUACUGCCGGCGAGUGGCGAACGGGUGAGUAAUAUAUCGGAACGUACCGAGUAAUGGGGGAUAACCAAUCGAAAGAUUGGCUAAUACCGCAUACGUCCUGAGGGAGAAAGCGGGGGAUCGCAAGACCUCGCGUUAUUCGAGCGGCCGAUAACUGAUUAGCUAGUUGGUGGGGUAAAGGCCUACCAAGGCGACGAUCAGUAGCGGGUCUGAGAGGACGAUCCGCCACACUGGGACUGAGACACGGCCCAGACUCCUACGGGAGGCAGCAGUGGGGAAUUUUGGACAAUGGGGGCAACCCUGAUCCAGCCAUGCCGCGUGUAUGAAGAAGGCCUUCGGGUUGUAAAGUACUUUUGUUAGGGAAGAAAUGGGAAGUGCUAAUACCACUUUUUGCUGACGGUACCUAAAGAAUAAGCACCGGCUAACUACGUG